UACGAAGGGGGCUAGCGUUGCUCGGAAUCACUGGGCGUAAAGCGCACGUAGGCGGACUCUUAAGUCGGGGGUGAAAUCCUGGAGCUCAACUCCAGAACUGCCUUCGAUACUGGAGAGCUCGAGUCCGGGAGAGGUGAGUGGAACUGCGAGUGUAGAGGUGAAAUUCGUAGAUAUUCGCAAGAACACCAGUGGCGAAGGCGGCUCACUGGCCCGGUACUGACGCUGAGGUGCGAAAGCGUGGGGAGCAAACAGG
rnacentral:rRNA from 1 species